rnacentral:lncRNA from 1 species
GGCAGGGAGACAGAAGGCACAGGAUUUGAUGCUGCUCUGUCGAAGUUGGGGGGCCAGGCUCCUGUUGUGAGGCCUGGGGUGGGCAAGCCUUGGAGAAGAAGGAAAAUGCCACACUGGAGCCCUUAGGUCGAGUCAUGGCUUCACACCAGGGGAUGCAAAGAGCAGAGUAGUUUUAAGAAAGGCUGCAUCAGAAUCGGCAGGCUGAACUACAGUUCCACAGGAAUAGUCAGGCCAGUGUUCGAUGCAGAGGAAAGAGAGAAGGAGCCAUUUAUCAAUGACCAGGACUGAGCAGCUGAAGCAGUUGUUCUCCUUGAACCUGGAUGACCAUGAGCUCAGAGCACAGCUGACCAGACACCUCUCCUAAGACCCACACUGACCAUUAGUGCCAGUCAGGUAUGCUGUGAGCACAGAAACACAUUGCUGACUCAGCCAGCACAGCCCUCUGCCACUAAGCCGAUAAUUUAUGUACAUGCUUAUCCAAUGGAUCAUCACUAACUGAGCCAGCAGGGGAGUCUAGCUUGACCGUGUGGAAGUGCCGUCCACUGUCACGGACUCCUACGCACUGGCUGAUACUCCAUGGGAACCUCCUGCUCCAGGUUGGGUGUAGCAAGGUGAAGAGCUAACCUGAGAAUCCAGUGAGUCUUCCUGCAGGGACACAAGGAACCAUGAAGCCCAUUGCCUCGUCUGUGCACACAAAAUGAAUAGAAACUGAAACCAAAAUGUUCCUGCAGGUGAAAUUUGAAGUUGGA